GAUGAACGCUGGCGGCAUGGAUAAGGCAUGCAAGUCGAGUGGGUUUACGACCCACGGACAAACGGGUUAGUAAUACGUAGGAAUGUUCCUCAAAGUCGUGGAUAAUCCGUCGAAAGGCGGAAGAAUACACGAUGUGCUCUACGGAGUAAAGAUUUAUCGCUUUAAGAGGGGCUUGCGUCUGAUUAGCUAGUUGGUGGGGUAAAGGCCUACCAAGGCCACGAUCAGUAGCUGGUCUGAGAGGAUGAUCAGCCACACUGGGACUGAGACACGGCCCAGACUCCUACGGGAGGCAGCAGUGAGGAAUUUUCCGCAAUGGGCGAAAGCCUGACGGAGCAAUGCCGCGUGAAGGACGAAGGCCUGUGGGUCGUAAACUUCUUUUAUCAGAGAAGAAACAAUGACGGUACCUGAUGAAUAAGCUCCGGCUAACUCUGUG
rnacentral:rRNA from 1 species